AUUGAACGCUGGCGGCAGGCCUAACACAUGCAAGUCGAGCGGAUGAAGAGAGCUUGCUCCUGGAUUCAGCGGCGGACGGGUGGGUAAUGCCUAGGAAUCUGCCUGGUAGUGGGGGAUAACGUCCGGAAACGGGCGCUCAUACCGCAUACGUCCUGAGGGAGAAAGUGGGGGAUCUUCGGACCUCACGCUCUCAGAUGAGCCUAGGUCGGAUUAGCUAGUUGGUGGGGUAAAGGCCUACCAAGGCGACGAUCCGUAACUGGUCUGAGAGGAUGAUCAGUCACACUGGAACUGAGACACGGUCCAGACUCCUACGGGAGGCAGCAGUGGGGAAUAUUGGACAAUGGGCGAAAGCCUGAUCCAGCCAUGCCGCGUGUGUGAAGAAGGUCUUCGGAUUGUAAAGCACUUUAAGUUGGGAGGAAGGGCAGUAAGUUAAUACCUUGCUGUUUUGACGGUACCAACAGAAUAAGCACCGGCUAACUUCGUG
rnacentral:rRNA from 1 species